rnacentral:rRNA from 1 species
CGCCUCUUGAUUGAAUAGAAGGUCUAACCUGCCCACUGAAGAAUUGAAGGGCCGCGGUAUUUUGACCGUGCAAAGGUAGCAUAAUCAUUAGUCUUCUAAUUAAAGGCUGGAAUGAAGGGUUGAACGAGGUAUUAGCUGUCUCAUACAGAUGAAUUUGAAUUUAACGUUUUAGUGAAAAGGCUAAAAUAAAAUUGGAGGACGAGAAGACCCUAUAGAGCUUAACAAGAACCUUAAAGUGUUAUUUAGAAGAGUAACAGUAUUUUAGGAUAUUUGUUUUGUUGGGGUGACAGAAAAAUAAAGAAACUUUUUAUUAAAAGUACACUAAUGAGUGAGCUAUUGAUCCAUUAUUAAUGAUUAUAAGAUUAAGUUACCUUAGGGAUAACAGCGUAAUCCUUUUUGAGAGUUCUAAUCGACAAAAGGGUUUGCGACCUCGAUGUUGGACUAAGGGAAAUUUUGGGUGCAGAUGUUCAAAAAUUAGGUCUGUUCGACCUUUAAAACCUUACAUG